rnacentral:rRNA from 1 species
AUUGAACGCUGGCGGCAUGCCUUACACAUGCAAGUCGAACGGCAGCACGGGGGCAAUCCUGGUGGCGAGUGGCGAACGGGUGAGUAAAGUAUCGGAACGUGCCCAGUCGUGGGGGAUAACGUAGCGAAAGUUACGCUAAUACCGCAUACGAACUAUGGAUGAAAGCGGGGGAUCGCAAGACCUCGCGCGAUUGGAGCGGCCGAUAUCAGAUUAGGUAGUUGGUGGGGUAAAGGCACACCAAGCCGACGAUCUGUAGCUGGUCUGAGAGGACGACCAGCCACAGUGGGACUGAGACACGGCCCAGACUCCUACGGGAGGCAGCAGUGGGGAAUUUUGGACAAUGGGCGAAAGCCUGAUCCAGCCAUGCCGCGUGCAGGAUGAAGGCCUUCGGGUUGUAAACUGCUUUUGUACGGAACGAAAAGGUUUGGCCUAAUAAGCUGAGCUCAUGACGGUACCGUAAGAAUAAGCACCGGCUAACUACGUGCCAGCAGCCGCAGUAA